GACGAACGCUGGCGGCGUGCUUAACACAUGCAAGUCGAACGGAAAGGCCCUGCUUUUGUGGGGUGCUCGAGUGGCGAACGGGUGAGUAACACGUGAGUAACCUGCCCUUGACUUUGGGAUAUCUUCAUGACACUGGGGCUAAUACCGGAUAGGAGCUCUUGCUGCUUGGUGGGGGUUGGAAAGUUUCGGCGGUUGGGUAUGGACUCGCGGCUUAUCAGCUUGUUGGUGGGGUAGUGGCUUACCAAGGCUUUGACGGGUAGCCGGCCUGAGAGGGUGACCGGCCACAUUGGGACUGAGAUGCGGCACAGACCACUACGGGACGCAGCGGUGGGGAAUAUUGCACAAUGGGAGGAAGCCUGGUGCAGCGACGCCGCGUGCGGGAUGACGGCCUUCGGGUUGUAAACCGAUUUCGCCUGUGACGAAGCGUGAGUGACGGUAAUGGGUAAAGAAGCACCGGCUAACUACGUG
rnacentral:rRNA from 1 species